rnacentral:rRNA from 1 species
GCGGGGAUUAGGCAUGCAAGUCGAGCGAGAAUUUAUUGUUGAGCCUCGGUGGAUUCAAUACCCUGGAAAGCGGCAAACGGCGUAGUAAUGCGUAGGUACGCACCCCUAGAUCGGGAAUAGCCAUGGGAAACCGUGGGUAAUGCCCGAUAAUGUCUGAGGACCAAAGGUGUGAUUCCGUCUAGGGAGCGGCUUACGUGAUAUUAGCUUGUUGGUGGGGUAAUGGCCUACCAAGGCUACGAUGUCUAGGGGGUGUGAGAGGUGGCCCCCACGACCGGAACUGAAACACAGUCCGUACACCUACGGAUGGCUGCAAUCCAGAAUCUUCCCCAAUGGACCAAACUCUGCCGUAGCGACGCC